rnacentral:rRNA from 1 species
AACGAACGCUGGCGGCAUGCCUAACACAUGCAAGUCGAGCGAUCCCUUCGGGGAUAGUGGUGCACGGGUGCGUAACGCGUGGGAACCUGCCCUUAGGUUCGGAAUAACUCAGAGAAAUUUGAGCUAAUACCGGAUAAUGUCUUCGGACCAAAGAUUUAUCGCCUUUGGAUGGGCCCGCGUUGGAUUAGCUAGUUGGUGGGGUAAAGGCCUACCAAGGCGACGAUCCAUAGCUGGUCUGAGAGGAUGAUCAGCCACACUGGGACUGAGACACGGCCCAGACUCCUACGGGAGGCAGCAGUGGGGAAUAUUGGACAAUGGGCGAAAGCCUGAUCCAGCAAUGCCGCGUGAGUGAUGAAGGCCUUAGGGUUGUAAAGCUCUUUUACCCGGGAUGAUAAUGACAGUACCGGGAGAAUAAGCCCCGGCUAACUCCGUG